AAUUGCACUCGUGCAGCACGAGUUUUGCCAAUCGAAAACGCUAUUAAAAACCACAAUUUGAUGCGAAUAGUAAAAAUACAGAUUAGCUAAUCCUAAUUUGACAUUAAAUAAUCAAGUUACUGUUUCCAUAGCGGUCACAGAUUAUCAUUUAAAGCAAAUUCGCAGUGGCGUAGCAGGAAUAAUCAACUAGUUCCGAAACUCUCUCCGAGUUGGAUGCUGCCCCUGAUGACUUUUUGUCGAUGCACCAAAGGAUGUGAUAGUGACAGGUGUGGUUGUAGAAACCCAUCGUUAAACUGCUCUGUCGCAUGUUCGAAUUGGAAGGGCAUUUGCACCAAUGGAGUCGGUACAUUAAUUCAAGAAGAAGGCGACGACAACGAUAUUGAAUUGAAUCCAUUUAAAUAAAAAUAGUUUUAGUAACUAUGCGGCAAUGUACUACAGCGAAAAGAUCUAGAUCGGCAAAGUUCAUUCUCGAAAUCCAGCAAAGGUCGAAACAUGUUAAUGAUUUUCUGUUAUAAAGUAUACGUAGUAGAUGAUAAAUGGAUAAAUAAUAAUACUAUAGACCUAAUAAUAAUGACAAAAAAAUGCUUUUAAAGUGGUGAAAUGUAGGGUUAUGUUACUUUACUGUAAUUUACAUUGGCUGUACUUAUGUUGGCAACGGCAAAACCAGUGGGCGGAACCUCGGGCGGAACGACGUUGUUUUUAAAAACAUAACCUCUAAGUUGAAGUAUAUUAAUUAUUAUUUGUAGAUAAUCGUCCUAAUUUCAGUAUGAAUGUUUAAGCACAGAUUUAAGUAUAUUUAAAUCUGUGGUUUAAGUAAUCUAUCAUAAGGAAAAACAACAAAGGAGUGCAACUACUUUAGAUUAAGUACCUAUAAUAAUAAUAGUGGCAGUUGCCUUAAGCCCAAGAAGGAUGCUCCACCUUUAACAGCACAACAAGUUACCUAAAAUGCGAAACACGUUGCCAAGAGGACAUUGGUUCUGGGGCCACUGUUUUUCCAGUUAAUGUGUUUGCGAUGGCCACUUUAGCGUGAAGGGAAUCCUCGAUCUACCCUUCCGCCACGGCAGAAGAUUUCCACUCUCCAUGGCGUUUCAGUGCUAGGAAAUCAGCUCCUUGCCUUGCGCAGAGCUCCGCCUAAAGCAAUGCCCUGUAAAGCUUUGAGCAUUGGGAAGAUGCAGAAACUCAGCAAUCUUUCGUGUCAUGCUAUCGAAGGAAUUCAUACCUACUGGCUGCCGUGUACACUUAUUAUUAGUGUAAUAAAUGAAAAACCGAUUAUGGGAUGUAUUUUUUCUAGUAUAACUUGUUCUGUAUAUUCCGUAAUGCUGUUUUCUGCACCACUUCGUGAACUUCACAUACUCUUCACUAUAACGAUUUGAUGAUUUUUUUGGCAGUAGAUUUGCCAUCGCCUUAUUUGCACAAACUUGUACGUGCUCUGGUGUACUCAUUUUGACGUAAAUAAAAAAAUUCAAAUCAAAGAAAUUUCAAAUUCAAAUGUCAAAAUGGCGAACAGCAGUGCUACCAACGCAAUAUUGCGUAGAAAAAAAAAACCAAUAUAACUUUUAAAUGUUAUUUAUUUGAGUUAUUUAAAUAUUUCAAUAAGUAAAAGCAGCACAAAAAAUGUUGUAUGGUACGCGAGCUGAAAACUAUAGCGUAAACUCGCUUCCAUGCCGCGUUCGGCCUGCGGCCUCACGCGUCAUUAACGCUCAUUACGCUAUAACGUAUUU